GGCAGAAUGGCCGAGUGGUCUAUGGCGACGGUCUCAAGCACAGCAUGUCUAUCCAUGUCUGGUCUUUCGCCUGCGAAAAGCAGCGUUCCGUUCACGAAAGUGGCCGGGGUUCGAAUCCCCGUUCUGUCA
rnacentral:tRNA from 1 species